GACACUUCAGGCUCUUCCGGGAGUUCUUGGGUCAUGGUGGUUGUUGGCUUCUGUUCCAGGAUAAUCAUUGCUUUUCAUCUCCAUCCUCCUCUCCAUAAACACCGUCUCAUCUCCUUCUCUCAUUCCCAAUUUUUCAUCCUGCACUGAUACUUCAUCAUCAUCCUCUUCCCUGCUUGACUUGAAGCUCCCUGCGAAACAGAACAACAAUUCAAAAGCAUCAAGAACUGCCCAAUCUACAGAAACAACAAAAGGCUAACUCAGGAACAUCUCCCAAAUCCUCAAACCCGAGCCUUACUAGUUGAAGGAACCGCAAGAGAUGAGAGAAGGCAAGAGAAGCCCAGAAACAGCACCAGGAGCCUCGCAGCAGCAAUGGUGGACUUGUGCUGUGCCAUGUCUUCGAGGUUGAGAAUAGGUAAAUGCUUUUUGGUGAUAUCGGGAAAGCAAAGUCGGGUAGGUGAAGUCUGGUGAUGGGCAUGUGAGAAAAAUGCUUGCGGCGAGAUGGAACUCUUUAUAGAGAGAGAGAGAGAGAGACAGAGGAAUAUCAAUGGGAAUUUCUUCAUUUUUUGUAUAUAAUAUAAUGUUUGAUUGAAUUUUCAAUGCCACCAGAAAGAAAAGUUAAUCUUUCUCUCCAACCACAAAGUCGACUUCCACUUGUAUAAGAUGGGCUUUGAGUUCCCACUGGCCUAACUCUCUUA